rnacentral:tRNA from 2 species
CCGGGUGUGGCCCAGUUGGUAGGGCGCUUGAUUUGGGUUCAAGAUGCCGGGAGUUCGAAUCUCCCCACUCGGACCA